GAGUUUGAUUCUGGCUCAGGAUGAACGCUAGCGAUAGGCUUAACACAUGCAAGUCGAGGGGCAUCACGGGAUUAGCUUGCUAAUCUUGGUGGCGACCGGCGUAAGGGUGCGUAACGCGUAUGCAACUUGCCUGUCAGUGGGGAAUAACCCGGAGAAAUCCGGACUAAUACCGCAUACACUUUGGUUUCCGCAUGGGGACUUUAGGAAAGAUUUAUUGCUGACAGAUAGGCAUGCGUUCCAUUAGAUAGUUGGUGAGGUAACGGCUCACCAAGUCAACGAUGGAUAGGGGAGCUGAGAGGCUUAUCCCCCACACUGGAACUGAGACACGGUCCAGACUCCUACGGGAGGCAGCAGUGAGGAAUAUUGGUCAAUGGGCGAGAGCCUGAACCAGCCAAGUCGCGUGAAGGAAGACGGUCCUAUGGAUUGUAAACUUCUUUAGUAGGUGAGUACAAGCAGUUACGUGUAGCUGUAAGCAA
rnacentral:rRNA from 1 species